rnacentral:lncRNA from 10 species
AUUUAGUACAUUUAUAUUGUUGCGCAACUAACACAUUUAGAUCCAAAACAUUUCCGUCACUUCAAAAGAAAACCUGUUCAUUGUAUUCUUUUUUCUUCCUUUUUUUUGAGACAGGGUCUUGCUUUGUUGCCCAGACUAGAGUACAGUGGUGUGAUCAUGGCUCACAGCAGCCUCGACUUCCCGUGCUCAAGUGAUCUUCCCACCUCAGCCUCUCAAGUAGCUGGGACUACAGGUUGGUGUUUAACUCCUCAUUGAACCCUGGUUGAAUUCAGCAAUUAUGAAGUCUUGCUCCAGAGUUGCCUUGGAUACUACCAUUAAGCUGUAUUUGCAUCCUGAAUAAUUUGAUGUGUACUUCCAAGGCUAAAUGUUUCUUUUUCUUCCUGCCCCAAAUCUUUAGUUACAACUUCUGUUCACCAAUUUCUUCUUGCACACUUCAUGGAAAGAACUUGUUGCCAGUUCUCUAAAUAGCCUCAAAAGUGUACAUAGGCCUUAUAGUCCGAGAAAAUACGUGGAAUCUCAAAACUGAUAGAGCAAUAAGGAAAUAAUUAUGUGCUCGGUCUCCUGGGUUUAUAGGGAGACUGCUAUAAGGGAGACUGCUAUAGGGAGAUUGCCACUAUUUGGAAUUAGUUCCUUGCUAUGACGGUUAAUUUUAUGUGUCCACUUAUCUGGGCUAAGGGAUGCUCAGAUAGCUGGUAAAACGUUAUUUUGGGGUUUGUUUGUGAGGGUGUUCCCAGAAGAGAUUAACAUUUGAAUUGGUUAACUGAGUAAAGAAGAUCACUCUCACCAAUGUGGGUGAACAUCAUCCAAUCUGCUGAGAGCCUGAAUAGAACAAAACAGUGGGGGAAGAGUGAAUCUGCUGUCUUGGCUUGAGGAGAGACAUCUGUCUUCUCCUGCCCUCAAACAUGGGUGAUCCUGGUCCUUGAGCUCUCAGACAAAUACUGGGAGUUAUGCCAUCAGGCUCCCCCAUUCUCAGGCCUUCACACUUAGACUGAAUUACAUCACCUGCUUUCCUUAUCAGCUUACAGACAGUGGACUGUGGGAUUUCUCAGCCUCCAUAAUCACGUAAGCCAAUUCCUAUAAUAAAACUCUUCUUAUAGAUCUCGUUAUAUAUAGCCUAUUGGUUCUGUUUCUCUGGAAAACGCUGACUAAUGUGCUUGCCAAAAUCUGAAGCUCAAGACUGGAGCUCAGGAUCGGAUUGCUUACAUACAUGCAAAAAGACGCAGAAGACAGACCUAAGAUAUUGGGCAUAGGAGCCACAGGGUAAUUGCAAGGAUUGUCAAAAUCAUAAGGGCAAAAUGCACAAUGAAAAGACAGAAUAAAUUCUUAUGUAGCUUGUUAAUUGGACAGAUUCUGGUGUAAGGCUGACUCGGUUUCAUUUCCAGUUCAUCCACUUAAUAGCUCAGUGAUUUAAGGCAAUUUACUUAACCUGGUUGGUGUCAGUCAGCCUAGGCUAAAUUGUGCUGCAGUAACAAAUAACCCCCAAAUCUCAGUAGCAUAAAUAAACAAAUGAAAGCUUAAUUUCCCACUCACAGUCCCCAAGUUUAACUUUAAUUAAAAAAAAUUUAUUGUACUGAAAAAUAUCAGUGCAAAAAGGUGC